AUGGACGGUGGUGGUGUGGCUGCCGCCGCUUCCGUAUCCAAGAAGAGGAAGCAGUGGCUGAACAAUCAGGACCUCAUCAGCGAUCUCCCCGACGAGAUCCUCGACAUCAUCAUCUCCUGCCUCCCCACCAAGCCAGCGGCGCGGACAGCCGUCCUCUCCUCUCGGUGGCGCCACCUCUGGCGCUCCGCCCCGCUCAACCUCGCCGUCGACCGCCGCCUCUCCGGGUGGGAGCGCGACCGCAUCGCCAUCGUCUGCAAGAUCCUGGCCGCACACCCUGGCCCUGUCCGCCGCCUCUCCCUCCACGACAUCAUCUGCCUCCGCCGCGGCAUCUACGGGAAGAUCGACCGCUUGUUCCGGUCCCCCACCCUGGAUGGCCUCGAGGAGCUCGACUUCACCUCCAACGGCUCUUACUACGGCGACGGCGACGGAGGCGACAGGCCACCGCGCCCGCUGCCGCCUUCGGCCCUCCGAUUCGCGCCCACGCUGCGCGCUCUCAGCAUCGACUCCUGUGAUUUUCCUGAGAUUGAGGCUGCCCCUGCGCUUCUUUUCCCUCGGCUGAAGCAACUCAAGCUGUACAAGAUCGCCAUCUCACAGGCGACCAUCCACCGCCUGCUGGCCGGCUGCAUCGUGCUCGAGAGCCUUGAGCUUGGAUGGAUCCACGGGCUCAACAGCGUCCGGAUUGUCUCCCCUACUCUACGAAGUAUUGUUGUCUCUGUUUCUUACCGCAACAGAGCAAAUGUGAUGCUUAAGAAGCUUGUCAUUGAGGAUGCACCAAGCCUUGAAAGAUUGAUCCCACUUGGGGAUGGCCCCAAGAUAAUCAAGGUCAUCUCUGCACCCAAACUGACGGUGUCUGGCUACCUGUCUAGCAAAACAUGA
rnacentral:rRNA from 1 species